rnacentral:lncRNA from 1 species
GGCCUGAUAGUUGUUUACCAAAUAAUCUUAUAAUUGUGCAGUUUAGGAAUCACUGGAACAAUCACAGAAUGAUUGGAACUUUCUAGAAUGAUCCUUAUAAAAGAUGCGUAAUUUAAACUUCUACGUUAUUCCAGAAACUUCCGUUGUAACUUUCCAGGAUUUUCCACAAUGUUCCAUUAUAGAGUGUUCUAGAAUUUUCAUUGACAACACUAUAUAUACAGACACUAAAGUUAAACUCUCAUAAUUAAACUUGG